rnacentral:lncRNA from 1 species
GUGCUGUUUGUUUAGUGCCAUAUUAUGGUUUAUUGUUGUUUAGGAUCUUUAUGCAAUGCAUAUUGUACUAUGAAUUAUGUAUCAUUUAACUGCACCUCCCAUUUCCGGCGUUCCACAACCGCACCUCCAAUUAUGGCGUUGCUCAACCGCACAUCCAACUACGGUUCUGCGUGAACACUGAACGCACUUUCAUGUGUGGUGUCCCUCCCAGCAUCUCUCCCUCUCUUAUACAUU